rnacentral:rRNA from 1 species
GUGGGGAAUAUUGGGCAAUGGGCGAAAGCCUGACCCAGCAACGCCGCGUGAAGGAAGAAGGCUUUCGGGUUGUAAACUUCUUUUAUCAGGGACGAAACAAAUGACGGUACCUGAUGAAUAAGCCACGGCUAACUACGUGCCAGCAGCCGCGGUAAUACGUAGGUGGCAAGCGUUAUCCGGAUUUACUGGGUGUAAAGGGCGUGUAGGCGGGACUGCAAGUCAGAUGUGAAAACUAUGGGCUCAACCCAUAGCCUGCAUUUGAAACUGUGGUUCUUGAGUGAUGGAGAGGCAGGCGGAAUUCCGUGUGUAGCGGUGAAAUGCUUAGAUAUACGGAGGAACACCAGUGGCGAAGGCGGCCUGCUGGACAUUAACUGACGCUGAGGCGCGAAAGCGUGGGGAGCAAACAGGAUUAGAAACCCCAGUAGUCC